rnacentral:rRNA from 1 species
AUAGACUCGAGGUGACAGCGGAGGAUCAUUACCGGGUCUUCGACUUGCCCGAAACCAAACGUGCACCUCCAAUACAAUUCGCUGCGGCGGGUCGCUCGCUGGGGGAGCCCCCGGGCCGAAAGGCUGGCCCGCCAAAGCAGCGAGAGCAUUAGCUCUGAACUGAAGCCGAGGCGCUCUGGAAAUAUCUUCUGAAGCACUACGUGAGCCGCCCCGCAAGGGUGACGGCGAAACGACUAGUUACAACCCAUAACGAUGGAUCUCUUGGCUCUGGCAUCGAUGAAGAACGCAGCGAAAUGCGAUACGUAAUACGAAUUGCAGAUCCAGUGAAUCAUCGAGUCUUUGAACGCACAUUGCGCCCCCUGGCAAUCCGGGGGGCACGUCCGACCGAGCGCCGCUAAAAUACGCUCGGGAGGCGCGCCUGUGUCUACUUUUUUUGUAGGGCAGGUUGCGUGCUCUCGGUGCUGGGACGUGCGGGACGUCGGUAGGGCUCUUCGGGGCCCUCCCGGCCCGCAGUCCUCAAACGCAGCGGCGGCCGUCGCCCGCGGUCCCCCAGGCGUAGUAGAUUACUUCUCGCCUAGAGGGGCUCCGCGGGGGCCUGCCUUCGAAACCCAGAAGAUGUGUCUUCUAUCAUCAUUCUGGCCUCGGGUCGGACGAGGCUACCCGCUGAACUUAAGCAUAUCAAUAAGCGGAGGAAAAGAAACCAACAGGGAUUGCCCCAGUAGCGGCGAGCGAAGCGGCAACAGCCCAGAUUUGAAAAUCCGGCGCUCUUUGGGUGCCCGAGUUGUAAUCUGCAGAUGGGGUUUUCCGGUGAGGCAUGCGUCCAAGUUCCNUGGAAUGGGACGCCGUAGAGGGUGAGAGCCCCGUACUGGCGCCGUGCCGAGCCUCUGUGAGGCCCAUUUCGACGAGUCGAGUAGUUGGGAAUGCUGCUCUAAUUGCGAGGUAAUUCUCUCGUAAGGCUAAAUACCCGGCCAGAGACGAUAGCGCAAAAGUAGCGGGAGCGAAAGAUGAAAAGAGCCCUUGAAAAGGCGUCAAAAACAUGUGAAAUCGUUAGGGGAAGCGUUNUCGCCAAAACUGGGGGCGGCGGUUUAUUGGGUUUCCGGGCCUUUGAACGGUCCCAGGCAAAAAAAUUGGGUUGGGCCAUUGCCGAAGGAAACGGGUUCUUUCGGGAAGGUUAAAUCCUUUUGGAACCCUUGGCCGGGUUAAACCCCCCUUGUGCNAGAAUUGGGUAUGGCCUAAAACCUUUUUAAAAAGACCAAAA